rnacentral:piRNA from 1 species
UAGAAAAGGUUGGCCAAUGCUCAUGGGGAC